UUGCUUCUGCAGCACAUAUACUAAAAUUAGAAUGAUGAUACCGACAAGAUUAGCACGGCCCCUGCGCAAGCAUGACAUGCAAAUUUGUGAAGUGCUCCAUAUUUAU